rnacentral:rRNA from 1 species
AGGGCACCACAAGAACGCGUGGAGCAUGUGGCUUAAUUUGACUCAACGCGGGGAAUCUUACCGGGUCCGGACACACUGAGGAUUGACAGACGGUUAUUGACUUAUACUCGCUUAAUAGCUUUAAGCUGUUAAGUGUUUAACACCUUUACACAAAGAUGCUAGUCCUUUCAUGAUCGUUUGAUAGGUGGUGCAUGGCCGUUCUUAGUUCGUGGAGUGAUCUGUCUGCCUAAUUGCGUUUCACUAAGGUCCCAUUCUUCAUACGUAUGAAUAGCGUCUUAACUCACUUUUACCGCUACCUAUUUGUAGUAAGCGCUCAUACUAUUGGGACCGGAAUGCAACGAGCGCGACUGCACCACCUAAUUGCCCCUUAUCUACCAUUAAUUACUUUAUUAACCGCCCUGUACGGGCACCGGGACCUUACCUUUACUGAAACUAGCUGGACCGCUGCUUUCCUUUAAGCCAGAGGAAGGUUGCGGCAAUAACAGGUCUGUGAUGCCCUCAGAUGUUCCGGGCCGCACACGUGCUACAAUGAUCAGCACAAAGAGUAUUACCUAUCUUCUUAUACCUAACCCAAUAUGUUAAACUUAUUGCGUAAGGGUAUUGUCUUAACGACUUAUCCGCUUUAGCGCUUUAAGAUUAUUGGACGGUUAUGCCUGCCUCGAAAGAGUGUACAGGGCAGCAAGAGUAAUGAUUCCCUCGUUUUUACUACUAAUACCGCGCUUGGUAACAUAUUGCACUCGAUUAAGUAGGGUCUUUGCUUUUAAUAGCAAUUGCUAUCCUCACCCUUAGGCUCUAAGGAUAUUACUAUCUCUAAGGUCUACAGGGAGGUGUAUAUGGCGCACUUACUUAUUCACGGUGGGGACAGACCAUUGUUAACUG